GUGAAUCAUCAAAUCUUUGAACGCAAAUUGCACUCUCUUCGGAGAGUAUGCCUGUUUGAGGGUCAGUAUUAAUAAAAAUCGGUGUGUUGCUUCUUUGUGACGCUCCGGAGUUGGGUUAUUUUUAUAACCCUUUAGCUUUUAGGAGCUUUAAAUUGAAUUUUUUUUGGCAUUUUAGAUGUUAAUAAAUUUUUUUUUUUAAUUCGCUUGCUUUAU
rnacentral:misc_RNA from 1 species